AAUUGUACAAAUGGCAGAAUUGCUGCAAAAUUCUAGAAAACUUCGCCUUAGAAGGAUUUAGAAACCUAUUAGGAUGAUUUUGGCAGUUGCAAGUGUAAGACCUUUGCUUCUGAUGCUUAUCUAGUUGCCUUGCCAUCUUUUAAUGUCUUAAUUUUUUUUGUUUGCUAAAUUUAAACGUAUUGCUCAGCGUACGAUUCCUUUGUCCUUGUGCAGAUACAUUAUUUUGGUAGAUCUUUUCUAAUUGUUUUGAUUGAACCUUUUUCUGUCCCCCCCCCUGCAUUGACUGUUCUAUUUCGUGUGCAGACUUGUUAUCUGCUGUUCGAAAGGCUGUGGAAGAUGAAAAACUGCCACUUAAUAUUGCUGAAGGAAUGGAGGAGCUGUAUCAGAACUAUCGGAAUGCAGUUUUACAAAGUGGAGUCCCCAAAGCAGAUGAGAUCAUCCUGUAUAACAUGGCUCUUGUAUUGGAUCGUGUUUUUGUGGAUGUGAAGGAUCCUUUUGAGUUCUC